CCACGCACCCCUCUCUUGGGGGAGAAAGAAGGCAUCAUCGGACUGAACUCCACUUGCUCAGCAUCACUGCGUCACUUUCUCUUCCUGCUUCGGGCUCAACAGAAACAGGAACCAUUUGGGCAUGGAGCGUGAAGGGGGUCCAUGUCCUUACAACCCACCGAUGCCUCAAGCCACAGCUCAAUCUCAGUUUCCAUGUCUAUCACUCCGCAGAAUCAACUCUAUUCUCUCCUACCAGUGACCUAUUUUGUGCUAAAGCCGGGGGACCCUUCUUACUCAUCAUCUCAUUCUGGAGUCUCGGCAUCAUGUGACGUGCUCUUCACUGUUGGCCUCACCUUCCUGCUCUUUAGUUUUCUAUUACUACUUUCUUCAGGGUCUCAUUUAUGUAAAAAGCGUACAAAAUAGUGCCCGGCACAAACAGGCACUGAAACUUGGUUUAUUGGUGUGGGGUGCUAAGGAGAUGGUUCCGUGAAUAAGAGUACUUCCUCGGCAAGCAGGAAGACUUGAGUUCAAACCCCAGCCCCCACAUGAAAAAGCCUGGAACCCCAGCGUUAAUGGACAAAGACGGUUGGAUCCCAGGAGCCCACUGGCCAGCAGCCACAACAUUAUGAGUUGAAGGCUAUUUCCUGAGCCACAGGGAAGCAGACGGCAACGGCCAUUCACGGACAGGCCAGACAGCAGCUGUCCUCCAGUGGAGGAACCGGCAGGAGCGUAAAGAGAAUACAGAGCCUGACUCGGCGUUUGGAAGACUUUGAGAUGAAUGUUUCCUCUGCUGCAACACAGAAGGAGCCUCCCUACCAUGCUCAGAUGAUGGUUUGUACAACUCUCUCCACCUCUGUCUCCAGAGAAAAGAUGUCAAAAGAAAACAAUGCUUUGACCCAGGGACCAGCCGGAGCCAGCAGAGGAGAACAAUGCCUCUAUGGUAGCAGGAAGGAGAGUGAGCUAUAAAGUAUGUUAAGUCAAUUAUACUGAAGAGGAGGAGACAGUGGGCAGGGGAAGGGAAAUCAGCCACAGCUGGGCCAGAAGAAAUGGCUCCGCAAAGAGGCUGGGCCUGGAGGCAGCCGCUCAUAAACAGAACACUGGAAUUUGGAGGAAAAUUUUUUUUUAUUGUACUUUUUCUUUACGCUGGAGAAUUGUACCCACGUUAGAGUGAAAUGUGAACAUAGUCUUCCUUCACAUCCUUCCUCCUCCACCAACAUACCCCAUGAGGAAAAUUUCCAGA